rnacentral:rRNA from 1 species
AACCAGCACCUCAAGUGGUCAGGAUGAUUAUUGGGCCUAAAGCAUCCGUAGCCUGCUUUGUUAGUUUUCGGUUAAAUCCAUACGCUCAACGUAUGGGCUGCCGGGAAUACUGCAAAGCUAGGGAGUGGGAGAGGUAGACGGUACUCGGUAGGAAGGGGUAAAAUCCUUUGAUCUAUUGAUGACCACCUGUGGCGAAGGCGGUCUACCAGAACACGUCCGACGGUGAGGGAUGAAAGCUGGGGGAGCAAACCGG